rnacentral:ncRNA from 1 species
UAGGAACCGUGAGAUUAAGCCAUCGCGGCAGGUGCUCACGUUAAGCCCACUGACUUUCAUGUCCCUAUCUACUAUCUAGCGAAACCACAGCCAAGGGAACGGGCUUGGAAUAAUUAGCGGGGAAAGAAGACCCUUUUGAGCUUGACUCUAAUCUGGCAGUGUAAGGAGACAUAAGAGGUGUAGAAUAAGUGGGAGAUAUUAGACUUCGGUUUGGUAUCGACAAUGAAAUACCACUACUCUUAUUGUUUCCUUACUUACUUGAUUAAAUGGAACGUGUAUCAUUUCCUAGCCAUUAUACGGAUAUAAUUAUUAUGUCUUAUGGUAUUGGGUUUUGAUGCAAGCUUCUUGAUCAAAGUAUCACGAGUUUGUUAUAUAAUCGCAAACAAAUUCUUUAAUGAGAGAAUGCAUUUAUGUAUUAUUGAUUUAAAAAUUUGG